UACGUAGGUGGCAAGCGUUGUCCGGAAUUACUGGGCGUAAAGGGCACGCAGGCGGCUCUUCAAGUCUGACGUGAAAGCUCCCGGCUUAACUGGGAGAGGUCGUUGGAAACUGAAGGGCUUGAGGCAGUGAGAGGGAUGCGGAAUUCCCGGUGUAGUGGUGGAAUGCGUAGAUAUCGGGAAGAACACCAGUGGCGAAGGCGGCAUCCUGGCACUGACCUGACGCUCAUGUGCGAAAGCGUGGGUAGCGAACGGG
rnacentral:misc_RNA from 1 species